rnacentral:rRNA from 1 species
AGUCACUGACAUUAGAUACCCCCUGUAGUCCAGGGUGUAAACGCUGCAGACUUGGUGUUGGAAGCCCUUUGGGGGCAUUCAGUGCCGGAGAGAAGUUGUUAAGUCUGCUACUUGGGGAGUACGUCCGCAAGGAUGAAACUUAAAGGAAUUGGCGGGGGAGCACCGCAACGGGAGGAGCGUGCGGUUUAAUUGGAUUCAACACCGUAAAACUCACCAGGGAAGACUGUAACAUGAAGGCCGAGAUGAAGACUCUGCUAGAUUUUCAG